CAGCCGCCGCGGUAAUACCGGCGGCCCGAGUGGCGGUCACUAUUAUUGGGCUUAAAGCGUCCGUAGCCGGGUUGGGAAGUCCUCCGGGAAAUCUGGCCGCUUAAAGGUCAGAAUGCCGGAGGAUACUCCCAGCCUAGGGAGCGGGAGAGGCCGAGGGGAUUCCCGGGGUAGGGGUGGAAUCCUAUAAUCCCGGGAGGACCAACUGUGGCGAAGGCGCUCGGCUGGAACGCGUCCGACGGUGAGGGACGAAGGCCAGGGGAGCAAACCGGAUUAGAUACCCGGGUAGUCCUGGCUGUAAACGAUGCGGACUUUGUGUCGGACAAGCUAUGAGCUUGUCCGGUGCCGGAGGGAAACCGUUAAGUCCGCCGCCUGGGGAGUACGGCCGCAAGGCUGAAACUUAAAGGAAUUGGCGGG
rnacentral:rRNA from 1 species